rnacentral:tRNA from 1 species
GGGAUUGUAGUUCAGUUGGUUAGAAUACCGCCCUGUCACGGCGGGGGUCGCCGGUUCGAGUCCGGUCAAUCUCG